UACAGAGUUCCCAAGCGUUGUUCGGAUUCACUGGGCGUAAAGGGUGCGUAGGUGGCCGGUUAAGUCUGACGUGAAAUCUCCGAGCCUAACUCGGAAACUGCAUCGGAAACUAUCCGGCUCGAGGGUUGGAGGGGGGACUGGAAUACUUGGUGUAGCAGUGAAAUGCGUAGAUAUCAAGUGGAACACCAGUGGCGAAGGCGAGUCCCUGGACAACUCCUGACACUGAGGCACGAAAGCUAGGGCAGCAAACAGG
rnacentral:rRNA from 1 species